AGAGUUUGAUCCUGGCUCAGAUUGAACGCUGGCGGUAUGCUUUACACAUGCAAGUCGAACGGAUUAAGAAGCUUGCUUCUUAGUUAGUGGCGAACGGGUGAGUAAUAUAUCGGAACAUAUCCGGAAGUGGGGGAUAACGUAGCGAAAGUUACGCUAAUACCGCAUAUGCCCUGAGGGGGAAAGGGGGGGAUCGCAAGACCUCUCGCUUUCGGAGUGGCCGAUAUCGGAUUAGCUAGUAGGUGAGGUAAAGGCUCACCUAGGCGACGAUCCGUAGCUGGUCUGAGAGGACGACCAGCCACACUGGAACUGAGACACGGUCCAGACUCCUACGGGAGGCAGCAGUGGGGAAUUUUGGACAAUGGGCGAAAGCCUGAUCCAGCCAUACCGCGUGAGUGAAGAAGGCCUUCGGGUCGUAAAGCUCUUUCAGCCGGAAAGAAAUCGUAUCUAUUAAUACUAGAUGCGGAUGACGGUACCGGAAGAAGAAGCACCGGCUAACUACGUGCCAGCAGCCGCGGUAAA
rnacentral:rRNA from 1 species